rnacentral:lncRNA from 1 species
GUUAAAUAUCUGAACAUUUGUUUGUCAGGCAGAUAAAAUACAGUUUUCCGUACAAUACUGCUAGUUGUGUUUGAAGAUGCACUUCCAAGAAUUUCGGAUGACCUGCCUGUUGCCAGAAAUCUCGAAGUUACUCUUCUCUCGCCGACAGCGAUUGAUCCCUCAUUAAAAUAGUUUGUUUUCUAUCGACAUUACUUUUUGUCGUACGAUGCAGGAUUGGUCCGAAAAUAGUUGUGAAAUCUUUCGGGAACGUGAUUCUCGCUUCAGUUAGGAAACUACCAUGCGAAGAGUUGCUCCUCGUCUCCAGCCUUUUUCUGAGAAAUUUCCACAAUUAUUGUUGUUUUACGUUGUUACAGCCAAUAUAAUAGCGACACACACUUUCUAUUGGAUGUUUGACAUCGUGUUGCCCAGUCACAGUAUUGACAAUAUUACUGCUUGUUGGUUCAGUAUUGGCCUAUUACAGGUUUUACAAAUUGGUAUUCCAAAUAAAUACUGAAAGUAUGCAGUCCCCAUUGGUGUUCCUUAUUUUACCAAUAACUAGGUAAUGAGAAGAACGUUUCACAAAUCAAUUUCCAUAUAUCAUAAAAAUGCCACAAUAAAGAUUGCACAACGGCUCCACAUUGAAUAUAUCAUGUCAAAUGAUAAUGAUGAGAAAAUCAGAAAACUUCUUCAUGCAUAAGAUUAGAAGAAUGCAGUGAAAGAUUCAAAGUAGUACUGUAGCUGAAGAUGAGAAGCAAAGUAAGAGCAUUUGGAACACAAAUCUAUAUCAUAUGUUCAGAUCAUUUUCAAAGAAGAAUGGGGCACGUGGAGGGUUAUUUCUAAAGAGAGCCAGAGAUUGUCCUUUUUAAGAGACAGUUCAAGUGAAAAUAAGUGCAAGGAAAACAUUUAUCAAGAUCCAGAUGAAGACAUUCUAAAAUACCACUUUACUCCAGAAAAGUAUGACAACUUUUUCGAUUUAAUGAAAGCCAUCUCAAGAAAGCACAUGCAUAUAAGCUGUAAAUUAGUACACAUUCCAAAGCACUGAUAAAGCACUACAGAUUUGUUUUUGUGUUUACAAGUUACUGUUACAUUAGUGAAAAUUUGUGAACAGUGACCAAGAAAGCCAAGAGAGCCACAGAAAUGGAAACACCUCUGCACAUCACAACGAGUCUGCCACAUCAGAAGAACACAGAUAACCACAGAAUUUACGAAAAGACUAUGUAACAUCAGUAUGGCCUUAUGGUAAAAUUGUUUUUGUAAUGCCAUUUAGCCCGAAAAUGAGGUUUUCCCUCG